UGGACUAAUUGUAGAUACAAAUUUUCAUGAUAUUCUACACAUACUGUACCUAGAAAGUCAGCCUGAUUGGUAAUGUUACUUCCAUAGAAAUUAAUUAAUACACUUACAAACAGGUACAGGUUCAUCGAAAUUUUCACAAAAUAUACAUUUAUUAUAAUUAAUUUACUCUCUGAAAAUAUUCCAUCCUAAAGUGUAAAAGAGAAUAUCUUAACAUUG
rnacentral:lncRNA from 1 species